rnacentral:rRNA from 1 species
ACGCGGCAUGCAGUCUCCUCGACGCAGGGGGAAGAGGAAGGGGAGCGCAAAUAUUAUUCUGCGGCCACGCGACGAGGCCACCGUUGGAGCGGGAGCGCGGAGGGAACAACGACAGAGUAAAGACUGGUGGCUGCCCCCUCUACCGCAGCCUCGGCCACCGCGCCCGGCACCGCCUCCUCCACCGCGCCACCCCGCCCUACUCCGUCUGUCCACAGUCGGACGCGAUGUACUACCUCAAGCCCCGCGCGGGGUGCCUCGCGUUGGACGACGAGAGGCGCGUCAAGGACGUGUUCCUCGAGGGGUAGGCGUAGCGGUCCGCGCGCGAGCUGGAGCUGAGGGAGGGGAAGCCGGAGAGGGUAUUCGGGCGGCAGGAGUUCCACUCUCUAACCAUGAACCUAAGCAAGGCACUGUAGGCCAUGAAGGGCCUCCACUCGUUGGUCCUGCUACUCGAUCGUAAGUGGGUCUACUAGUUCUACUAGUCCCACGCAGUGUGUUUACACCACGGGUGGUACCGUAACCCACACGUCGUCGACUUCUUCCUGGACCCACCAUGUUUCCGUAAGGGGAGACCUUAAUUACUCUAGGUAGUCAAGGAACUAGCGAAGAUGUACAGUUCUUAACCCUAGGCGUACGACUAUCCCGUCGUACAACGAAACGUACUAGGACUAGGUCUCGGACCGCAGUAUCCCGAGUAUUUGUGUUCUAACAGGGGGUACGACCACCGAGCUGAACGAUCACUUCUACGUGCGCGAUAAACGUACGCUCUUAUACCUAGUCGAGGACUACAGUUGUAUAUACCCGUGGGUCUAAAAUGCAAAGGUAUACACUGUUAUGUAGAUGUAGAAUACUACAAACUUAACCACUUCUUAAGAGAAGCACGUCAUGUUCUUGCUAAAUACUUGAGACUAUUUGUACGUGGAGGACAAUCCUAGUAUCAACGACUACCUCGUCUCCUACAUUGAUAGUUCUAAUCACUACUUCCACCACCUUAUGGUUCUUCACCGGAGGGUUCUUAUAAGUGGAUAGAGAUGUCAUGUCGUCUUGUGGGUGGACUAGAUCUACCGGUAUUACCUCACUGUUACCGACCCAUACCAAUACCCGAGGGUUAAUCAGCAGAAAUACGAGCUAUAAAACCGCCCCUAGACGUUUAUUAAAGAUACCUCCCUAUACCUUGACUACGAAUGGAGGUGAAUAGUGCAGACCCUCUAAGUCUCCUUGGGAACGGAAUUCUCUAAGUCUUCCUGGGUAAUGGAGUAACCGGACGACGAGACUAUAGUAACGACAAUAAUCCUACUACAUUAACAACCGAUCAUACGUUUAUAGCAAUGGUUCCGGUCGGUAGUUAUAUACUAAGUCGACAAGACGAGAUCAGUUAUAUACACCUUACUGUGGUAUUGGUUCCGAGAUCAAAAAAGAAUGGCAGUAACCUUAAACCCAUCUUACUGCAACGUCUUGAUGAACAGAUUUUAACAAAUGAUCUCCGUCGACCAAAGUAAAUUUUAUACAGUGGCAGUUGUAUUAGACUCGUACAGACGAUGUCUCGAGUUUUGCCCUUCAGGAGUGUAUGAAGGUCACGCAGAGGAACCGUAGAAAUGAUUUUCUUCCUAAUGACCGUCCUCAAAGGAAAACGUAACGGUUAGUUCAAUUAAAGAUAAAAAAUGUUCACUAAACUGAAAUAAAUAAUUGGUAUGUGAACCUUAGAUAUAGACGUGACUUGAGAACCUCCCAAACGGGUGAGAAGAAUGACGAUAUCUGACUACCAAGGGCAAGACUUAUUGAUCAUUUUACGUGCACGAAACGUGCAACCAAACAUUUUUUACCUCUUUGUAAAUUAGUAUUAAAACAUCUUAAAACUUGAACUUAUCUACAUCGAUGCUAAAUUACUUAAUCUUGAACCCAAUUAAAGAAGUAAAUAUUAACAAAACAGUGAAGAAUAGUGUAACACUCCGUAUGAGAUACCGGUUAGUUUCCCGUGAGUAGAAGACGCUUCGAACUUCCGUGGUACUUCUGUAACCAGAAAUAUAAGAGUUCCCGUAGGCGAAGUUGUGCGUACUAAAGAAGUAGCGAAGUUGUGCGUACUAAAGAAGUAGUCCGUUGACUGACGAAGUACGUAACUAGAGAAACCGGUCUUAAAAAUACGAGGUACUUACUACGCCGACUAAUUCGAAGCGAGGUGGUAGUUAAUGGUUCGAAGUCGGGCGUUAGUACAACAGAAGAACAAACUCCACCUAUACAGUGUACUUCGGUAUAUAGGAGUCGGUCGGUUUCUUGGUGAGGGAAACAGACGGCGUAACACGAGUGUGACUACGUUGUUGGUCGUGUCAAGGAGUCUCCCGAAACUUCGCACGAGCUCAUGAGUUUACUAUCUCUUAAAAAUCAAAGAGAAGUAGUUUUCGUACUAUCCGUAGUGCUAACCUACUUUGUGAUCUACGUUUCAGAAGAACAACUACAGUUAGCAUAGGCGUUGGAGAGGUCGUUCUUAAGAAAACAACGAGUACUUCGGCUGGUCGCACGAACCUUCUCGGAGUGUUACGGUGUUACGAAACAAGACUUCUACUAGAGUAACGACUACCGAAGUAGCUCGCGAAGUUCAAACUGAGGUUCAGAGGCCUUAUCCGGUUCACCGCAGGAUGUGGUAGGUAACUUCCGAGGUUGAUGAGUAGUAAGCAGGAUUAACAAUAACGUGCGCACUGACUACUCCUCCUGCUGUAGUGAAGUGGUCGUUAUCGAAGUGACGUAGUUCUACAACGUAGUCCGGGAUGACGUGAUGGGUUGAGGUUGCAACUGGACGGCGUUGUUGUAGAAGUGGCGGCGGAGGACUCUUGUGAAUCUGCGGGAUACAGAAAUAAGGAAAAACCAGUAAGCUACUGUUUUCCCCCUCUUCGUAUACGCAACUAUCAGAAGUUCGCCCAAAUAGCCCAGUCCACGAUAUAAAAACAAUUCAAACGUUGUCGACCAAAAACUGUUCCG